GUGGGGGAUAUUGCACAAUGGGGGGAACCCUGAUGCAGCGACGCCGCGUGGGCGAGGGAGCGCCUCGGCGCGUAAAGCCCUUUCGGCGGGGGAGAACGAUGACGGUACCCGACGAAGAAGCACCGGCUAAAUACGUGCCAGCAGCCGCGGUAAUACGUAUGGUGCGAGCGUUGUCCGGAUUUACUGGGCGUGAAGGGGGCGCAGGCGGCGCGCCAAGCCCGAUGUGAAAGCCCGGGGCUCAACCCCGGGACUGCAUUGGGAACUGGCGUGCUGGAGUGCCGGAGGGGCAGGCGGAAUUCCUGGUGUAGCGGUGAAAUGCGUAGAUAUCAGGAGGAACACCGGUGGCGAAGGCGGCCUGCUGGACGGAUACUGACGCUGAGGCCCGAAAGCGUGGGGAGCGAACAGG
rnacentral:rRNA from 1 species